CAGUAGCCGCGGUAAUACGAAGGGGGCUAGCGUUGUUCGGAAUUACUGGGCGUAAAGCGCACGUAGGCGGAUUUUUAAGUCAGAGGUGAAAGCCCGGGGCUCAACCCCGGAACUGCCUUUGAAACUAGGUGACUAGAAUCUUGGAGAGGUCAGUGGAAUUCCGAGUGUAGAGGUGAAAUUCGUAGAUAUUCGGAAGAACACCAGUGGCGAAGGCGACUGACUGGACAAGUAUUGACGCUGAGGUGCGAAAGCGUGGGGAGCAAACAGGAUUAGAUACCCGCGUAGUCCCUGUCUCUUAUAA
rnacentral:rRNA from 1 species